GAAACCGCAGCAUCGUUGGUGACUAUGGCUCAUGUUGGGAUAGACAACAUUGAUGAUGGGGGAAUCGGUGAUAUGGUGAUGGUGGAGAUUAAGACUACUGUGGUGGUGAUGAUGCUAAUAGUGGAAGCGAUAGCAAUGGUGGCGGCAGUGAUGGCGAUGGCAUUGCAGGUGAUGUCAGUAGUGGUGGUAAAAAAAUUGAAUUUUUUAUUUUUGAAAAUGAUAGAAGCAAGAAAUUCCUUGAAACAACAAAAUAAUUUUAACAAAAUAAUAUGAAACAUGCUUUUUAUGUUGAUUUUUCUAUUUUGUUUUUAAAAAGUAAAAAACAGAAGCUGAAAGUGAUGUCAGAGAGGCUUUUCUGAAAAUCUUUUUCCUUUUGGGCAUAAAGUAUUCUACAGUUCUGUUUUUUUCGAGCACGAGAUGCUUCAUUAGUCUGGGCAUCACAUGAUAAUACAAGUUCUAAGAAAUCCAGCUGGAGAAAAAAAAUACCAGACACAAAUAUGCUAGAAUAUUUUAUCACAUUUUCUCACUGUGUGACGGUAGUAGUAGACUACGGCUAAACUACGAAACUGGAAAGGAUAUUUGCAGCUAAACCCCAAAGAAUUGAAAGCAGAAAAUUUUACAGAGUCCAUCAAUUAUAAUGGAAUAUCUAUUGAAUUUCUUCUCAUGCCUUUCCUUUCCUAAUCUACAUCCUCUCUUGCUUUCAGAUGAUGCCGUCAUCAGGUUCCGUAUGCUCGCUACCAUCCUCUCUAGAAUUGAAAUCUUGGUUCCACGUAAAAUUUGAAGAUGACAGCAUGGAGGAGUACCAAUAGCUCAUAAGAUCGUAAGAGAAAGGCAUGGGAAGAAAUAUGAUAGAUAAAUCCAUUAUAGCUGGUGGAGUGGUUCUAUUAACAAUUCUCCAGAUAAAAAAAAAAAAGAUGCAUAGAAACAUGAAAAAGGAGUCUUAUAUAAUAUAUGCGAAAAGUUAUAAUAUUAGUUAUUCCCUUGCCAAGGAAAAGAGGUAAUAAUAGAAGUCUCUUCUUUUUUUUCUUUCUGGUAAAAAUAAUAAUAGAAAUUUUGACCUGCUUCCUUCCCUCCCUCCAAGUCAAACCUGUAUUCUCCCAUCCAGAUCGCCUGCUUCCUUUAUCACGUGCACUGCACGUUUUUUCGGAGAAAAAAGAUCGUAGAAAAUUUCGGCGUAAUUUCGUCCUCCGUAAUCCCGUUUCUUCUCCCGCGCUGCUCUCCGGAUGUCCGGAGUCCGACAGUUCACUUUCGCAGACCAAAACCGGUCGUGACUCCGUUUACGUGCGCGGGACAGCGGAGGCUUUAGCUCCGCCCGGACUCCAAGAGUCGUGCCGGCGGAUUUUGACUGGCGAACGCAGAACAUGGAAGUCCUCCGUCUAUCCGCGGGACCGCGCACCGGCAUCAAGAUCGGGCCGCCCAGGCCCUCCUUCCUUCCAAGAUCCGCCCUCCCAAGUCCCACCCCAAACCCCACUAGCAGCAGCCAAACCCACCCUCCCAUCUUUCAGAGGGAGGAGACCAAGCAGCAGACGAUCUGUAGAAGAAGAGGAGGAUUUCAAACCGAUUUCUUUCCUAUUCCUAUCUAAGUUAUACUCAUAGUCGUCAUCCUAAUCCCAGGUGUGCAAGAAUAAGAAUUUGAAAGGCCAAAAAGAAAGAAAGAAUAAAAAGGCAAAAAAGAAAGAGGAGGUGGGGAAUCUCCUCACCGAACUCUCUUGUUGUUUAACAUUUAUAAUAUCCGCCCUCCGCCAUCAGCUCCAGCUAUCGUUCGUUUCCUUGAUGCUUCCACUGGACCAGCCAUGGCCUCGAUACGCCGCUCCUUCCCCCCCUCCCACCGCCCGGGCCUCCUCUCCGCCCCUCCACUGCCGCCAUCCCCUCCCCGCUGCCUCCUCAUGAUGGGCGCCUUCCUCCCGCGGCAUCCCCGCAAUACCAGCCGCCGCUCCUCCUGGCGGCGGCCCCUCCUCCGCUUCCUCCUCUUCUUCCUCCUCGGCUUCUUGCUGGGCCUCUCCCCCUUCGCCGAGCUCGACGACUCCGGCCUCCGCCCCCACGACUUCUCCUUCCACGACGACGUCGGCCCCCCCCGCCGGGAUCUCGCCGCCCUCGUCCGGUCGAGGCCCCGGGAGAUCGAGAUCGUGCAGCCCGAGGGCCUCGUCGCCGAAGAGCUCGAGGCCCGGAAGGAGGAGGAAGGCCCCCUCGAGCCCGAUCCAGGACCCCUUAGGAAGCUGCUCAUCGUGGUGACCCCGACCUACGACCGCGCCCUCCAGGCCUGCUACCUCAGCCGGCUGGGCCAGACGCUGAGGCUCGUGCCGCCGCCCCUCCUCUGGAUCGUGGUGGAGAUGAACGCCCCCUCCAUGGAGACCGCCCGGCUCCUCAGGAGGACGGGGGUCAUGUACCGGCAUCUGGUCUGCAAGAAGAACUCCACCCACAUCAAGGACAGAGGCGUCCACCAGCGGAACACAGCGCUCGAGCACAUCGAGCGGCACCGUCUCGACGGUAUCGUGUACUUUGCCGACGACGACAACAUCUACUCGCUCGAGCUGUUCGAGCGCAUGAGGGAGAUCAGGAGAUUUGGCACCUGGCCCGUUGCAAUGCUUGCUCAAAGCAAAAACAAGGCAAUUCUGGAAGGCCCAGUAUGCAAUGGAAGUCAAGUGAUUGGUUGGCAAACAAAUGAAAAAAGCAAGAAACUUCAAAGAUUUCAUGUUGUUAUGUCAGGAUUUGCAUUCAACAGCACGAUACUGUGGGAUCCCAAGAGGUGGCACCGUCUAACCUCAAAUGCCAUCAGGCAACUAGACACAGUAAAGGAGGGUUUUCAGGAAACAACAUUUAUAGAACAAAUAGUCGAAGAUGAAAGUCAAAUGGAAGGCUUACCAUAUAAUUGCGCAAGGAUCAUGAAUUGGCAUCUUCGCUUGGCAGCUAGAAAUCUUGUUUAUCCUGAAGGGUGGCAAGUCUCAAGGGAUCUUGAUGUCGUCAUUCCUUUGAAAUAGAAAUUUUAGGUUUGGCGAGCAAAAGUCCAGCCAUACAACCAUCGCGGUAGCGGGCCCUCCAAUGCUGGUUGGCUUAUCAAGACAAAGCACCUACUUGAGUGCUUGGUCAUGCUCACCGCCGUCAGACAUGCCUUAAUGCAAAUAUUCAAUAUUCUUUCAGGGGAAGAGAACCAUCUUACCGUGAUACCGGUCCAUAUUCUGUGGAAGACGUACACAUUCCUUGUAUCCAUUCACUAGAGAGGAGCCUUUUUUUUUUUUUAGGUUUGUUUAGAAGCUCUUUUACUACUAAAAGUGUGCCAAAGUGUUCUCAAUGUAAGAAGUUGUUCACAGCGUCAAUUUUGAUAGCACUCGGCUGUAGAAUCGGCAAUGUGGCCGUUCUUCCUUUUUGAUAGCUUGUGUGAGACUUUUUUAUUAUUAUUAUUUUAUUUGGGUCUGGACCGGCCUGGAUUGAGCUGGGCCGCCCUUUAGGCUGACCACGUGCAUGGCACGGGGGACCGAGGGAGAAAGACUCCUGAUGGGGUCAUCUUUCUUUCCCCAUUCCAGCGAGGAAGAGGAGUCUAAGGGCACGCCGACCUCCGACAAAGCCCUAGGAUUCGAUCUAUAAAAAAGCCUCUCCUCUUUCUUAUGGGCAUUGCACUAAAUCCAUGAUCAAUUGCGGUAAAAUCCCUUGAGUCCUCGCUUGGAUUCCGUCGAGCAUUCUCGGCGAGAAACCAUCGAUCCGAUAUCGAAGAUGAGUGUUGAUUUUAUCAAAAGGGGUUGGUACCGGAUGGGAAGGGUGACCAAGUUGUGACACCUACCACAACGAGAGACAUCUCUGCUGAUGGCUUACGGGAGGUCAUGUCUAACAGACUAGAAGGUUUGAUCAGAAUUUUGCUGACAACACAGACAAAGGAGGGUUCUGCGGAAGACUUGCAUGCAGAACUCCUUUUUUGGAGUAGUAUUUCCGGAUCGUGGGAACGGAAACCAGAGUUUUUU